UACGAAGGGGGCGAGCGUUGUUCGGAUUCAUUGGGCGUAAAGGGUGCGUAGGCGGCGCGGUAAGUCGGGUGUGAAAUCUCGGAGCUUAACUCCGAAACUGCAUUCGAUACUACCGUGCUUGAGGACUGGAGAGGAGACUGGAAUUUACGGUGUAGCGGUGAAAUGCGUAGAUAUCGUAAGGAAGACCAGUGGCGAAGGCGGGUCUCUGGACAGUUCCUGACGCUGAGGCACGAAGGUCAGGGGAGCAAACGGG
rnacentral:rRNA from 1 species